UGGGGAAUAUUGCACAAUGGGCGAAAGCCUGAUGCAGCAACGCCGCGUGAAGGAUGAAGUAUUUCGGUAUGUAAACUUCUAUCAGCAGGGAAGAUAACGACGGUACCUGACUAAGAAGCCCCGGCUAACUACGUGCCAGCAGCCGCGGUAAUACGUAGGGGGCAAGCGUUAUCCGGAUUUACUGGGUGUAAAGGGAGCGUAGACGGAUCUGCAAGUCUGGAGUGAAAGCCCGGGGCUCAACCCCGGGACUGCUUUGGAAAUCUGUGGAUCUAGAGUGCCGGAGAGGUAAGCGGAAUUCCUAGUGUAGCGGUGAAAUGCGUAGAUAUUAGGAGGAACACCAGUGGCGAAGGCAGCGUACUGGCGCCUGACUGACGCUGAGGCACGAAAGCGUGGGGAUCGAACAGGAUUAGAUACCC
rnacentral:rRNA from 1 species